rnacentral:rRNA from 1 species
CAGGUUGAAGCGAGGGUAAAACCUCGUGGAGGACCGAACCACGUUGCUGUUGAAAAAGCAUGGGAUGAGCUGUGGAUAGCGGAGAAAUUCCAAUCGAACCCGGAGAUAGCUGGUUCUCUCCGAAAUAGCUUUAGGGCUAGCGUCGAGUAUGAGUAGUGGAGGUAGAGCACUGAAUGGGCUAGGGGGCAUAGCGCUUACCGAACCUUAUCAAACUCCGAAUGCCACAUACUUUGAGCUCGGCAGUCAGACUACGAAUGAUAAGAUCCGUGGUCAAAAGGGAAACAGCCCAGAUCGUCAGCUAAGGUCCCAAAGUGUAAGUUAAGUGGGAAAGGAUGUGAGAUUUCUAAGACAACUAGGAUGUUGGCUUAGAAGCAGCCAUUCAUUAAAAGAGUGCGUAAUAGCUCACUAGUCGAGAGAUCUUGCGCCGAAAAUGUAACGGGGCUAAACUUACCACCGAAGCUACGGGCUUGAACAUAGUUCAAGCGGUAGGAGAGCGUCGUAACCGGGCUGAAGUCGUACCGUAAGGAGCGGUGGACUGGUUACGAGUGAGAAUGUUGGCAUCAGUAGCGAGAUGUGGGUGAGAAUCCCACAGGCCGAAAACCUAAGGUUUCCUCAGGAAGGUUCGUCCGCUGAGGGUUAGUCGGGACCUAAGCCGAGGCCGAAAGGCGUAGGUGAUGGACAACUGGUUGAUAUUCCAGUACCACUACCAUCGUUAUUAUCGAUGGCGUGACGCAGGAGGAUAGUGUGUGCUAGCUAUUGGAUGCUAGUCUAAGCGUUUAGGCAGUGAGAGUAGGCAAAUCCGCUCUCAUAAUGCUGAGGCGUGAUGGGGAAGGUUCCACGGAACCGAAGUACAUGAUUCCACGCUGCCAAGAAAAGCGUCUAGAGAGAGAAGUAGUGCCCGUACCGCAAACCGACACAGGUAGGUGAGGAGAGAAUCCUAAGGCCGGCGGAAGAAUUACAGUUAAGGAACUCGGCAAAUUGACCCCGUAAGUUCGCGAGAAGGGGUGCCUACGAGAGUAGGCCGCAGAGAAUAGGCCCAAGCAACUGUUUAGCAAAAACACAGGUCUCUGCUAAAGCGUAAGCUGAUGUAUAGGGGCUGACGCCUGCCCGGUGCUGGAAGGUUAAGGGGAACACUUAGCGCAAGCGAAGGU